rnacentral:lncRNA from 1 species
CUCCCCCAAAGUUGGUUCUCUCUUCACAAGUUCCAUAACUACCCAAGACGCGCGGGGGCGGGACAGGUGGGAACGCAUUAACAACACUUAAAUCUGAAGUUGACAGCCAAAGGUACCAGUUUGGUGGGGAGACUUUCUCAAGCUCCCUUACACACUGCUCGGCGUUUGCUUUUGCCGCUGUACAUUUCAGCUCAUUUCUUUUUGCUGCUGCUGCUGCUGCUGCUUUGCGCUGCUCCGUCACGCCUUUAUCUCUUCGCUGCCAAAGGAGCCCGAAGCAGGAUAAAUUCCACGAGAUUCCCCAGCGGUUUCGUUCCUGUCCGAGGUCGCGCAGCGGAUCCACUGACUAGCGCCAAUAUCAAGAGGCAAGGAGGUGCCACCCAGGGCGGCGCUGGAAGUGGAGCGGGAGGAGGAGCGCGGAGACCUGCGUCCCUACCCGCCGUGCGUACUUUCUGGAGGGAAGGGCGGGGGAAUUAGCCCCGGGAGGGGGACGCUUGGUGGCAAGGGGGUUAUUAGCCAAGUUCCGGCUGCGGUGGUCCCCCUGGGCUCCCACAAGAGGAAAGUUUUCUCCAGACGUUUCCGGCCGGCUCGCUCCCUCCGGGCCCAGCCUCCUGAGCCUUCGGAGCGGGCGCCGUCCCAGCCCAGCU